AAGGGUUCUUUUAAACAUCUGACAUAACCUAAAGGGCAAUAAUUUGCAAGGAAUGCUUCGUAGGCAGGAAUCCAUUAUGUUUGUGCAGGGACAUUGAUUCUUUGCUAUUUAUUUCAUGUAAUCCUUUUUUUUUUUUCUUUUUUGCACCUCAAUUUCCAAGUUACAAUCAUUAUUUAAACUGCAAUUGCUUUGAAAUGUUUUCAGAAUAAUUUUUUGCUGAUGGCCAAACACAGUUUUCACAAUUCCUGCCUAAGAUGCAGCCUUCACACUAUAAAACAGUGAUUUGCCCUCCAUGCUGUAAUGGCAAAUCACUGCCUCCUGAUGACAAAGAUGACAACAGACUUUUCCAGGCCUGGUCACAGUAGCCCAAGGCAGAGCAGAGACUUCUUUAAUUUGGGAUCAGAAUUCAAAGUGCUGGAGGUGCUGAAACUGAGCAACUGACCCUGUCCAUUUUUCUCUUAGAAUUAUAUUGAAACCUUAGAGAAAAGGAACCAGUCUGCUUUUCUUGCAUGCAUCCAGGGACUCAAUCCUGCAGACCUUUCCCCCAGGACUUUCUUACUCACAUGAGCAUUCCCCUGAGUGUGAGCAGCUUCACGCACAGGACUGCAGGCAUCAGGAUUGGCCUGUAGUAACACUUCUCAAACAGUCAUUGUGCAUCAGCUCCAGGCUUAGUUUGGAGAAGAGUUUCACUCAGCUCCUAUCAUUUGUGAGGGUCACCGCUGAGCAGAGGGAAGCAGAGAGGGUUAUAGCCACAUAAGCCAUGCCAUUCUUACCGGGGACCUCGGCGUUACACUGAAGUAUUUGUGCAGCACCUGCACAGGAGAGCCUUAACCCUGACUGGGACUUUUAGGUGCUAUUAUGGUGCAGGUGAUGAUAACAACAGUAACUUUCAUUGAAGGAGUCACUGAGCUGAAAUGCAUCUAACGUAAAUCUAACAGAACGUCCAUGACAAUAACAUUAAGAGCAGUUUCAUUUCCAUGAUGGUUGUUUACAUGUCUGAGAAACAUUCAUUUUGUACUGUAAGAAAAGAAAAAGAAAAAAAACCCCAUAAACCAUAAAAGAGCCUUUCAUGGGGAAUGCAGAAAGAAUUUUUUUUUUUAAGCUUGGAAGACAAAAAUAAAAAGAAAUUAAAAUGACCAUUGUUAGUGAGGUUAAAAAGAAGGGAUCUCACGUGCUUUAGUAACAUAUUGUGACAUGAUCAAACUGCUUUGGCUUAAUAAAUGUAUACAUGAAUGGUAACAAAA
rnacentral:lncRNA from 1 species